UUUCGCAAUGCCCGAAAGGGUGACGAAGCGACGCCGCGUGCGGGAAGAAGGCCUUCGGGUUGUAAACCGCUGUCGGGAGUUAAGAAAUGUAAGGAUGUUAAUAGCAUCUUUGCUUGACUAAGGCUCCGGAGGAAGCCACGGCUAACUCUGUGCCAGCAGCCGCGGUAAUACAGAGGCGGCAAGCGUUGUUCGGAAUUAUUGGGCGUAAAGAGCACGUAGGCGGCUAUGUAAGUCGGUUGUGAAAGCCUUCCGCUCAACGGGAGAACAGCAUCCGAUACUGCAUGGCUUGAGUGCGGGAGGGGAGAGUGGAACUUCUGGUGGAGCGGUGAAAUGCGUAGAUAUCAGAAGGAACGCCGGCGGCGAAAGCGGCUCUCUGGCCCAUAACUGACGCUGAGUGUGCGAAAGCUAGGGGAGCAAACGGGAUUAGAUACCCCGGUAGUCCUGGCCGUAAACGAUGGGCACUAAGUAGAGGGGUUUUA
rnacentral:rRNA from 1 species